UGUUGGAGUCAAAAUCCCCACUUGUAAGAUCACUCUUAAGGAAACCUUCCUGACGUCACCAGAGGAGCUCUAUAGAGUGUUUACCACCCAAGAGCUGGUGCAGGCCUUUACCCAUGCUCCUGCAACAUUAGAAGCAGACAGAGGUGGAAAGUUCCACAUGGUAGAUGGCAACGUCUCUGGGGAAUUUACUGAUCUGGUCCCUGAGAAACAUAUUGUGAUGAAGUGGAGGUUUAAAUCUUGGCCAGAGGGGUCUCACUGUCACUCAGGCUAGAGUGCAGUGGCAUAAUCACAGCAAACUGCAGCCUUAACCUCCCAGACCCAAACGAUCCUCCUGCUUCAGCUUCCCAAUGCUGGGAUUACAGGUGUGAGCCACCACGCCCAGCCAGGUUGCCCCAGUCUUAAACUCAGAUGGAAACCUAGAUAUGAAACCUCCGUCCCCUCUGCCUUUCCCAGGACACUUUGCCACCAUCACCUUGACCUUCAUCGACAAGAACGGAGAGACUGAGCUGUGCAUGGAAGGUCGAGGCAUCCCUGCUCCUGAGGAAGAGCGGACGCGACAGGGCUGGCAGCGGUACUACUUUGAGGGCAUUAAACAGACCUUUGGCUAUGGCGCACGCUUAUUUUAGGGCCAGCGGCAGGGGACUCCAGCCUGCUGGACACUUCAGUCCAGCUCUCUCCUGACUGGGGCUUGCGACUCACAGGAUUGCAUCGUCCCAGCUGCUAACUUGGGGCCGGGGCCCCUCCCUUCCACAUAUACCUUGGGUUUGUGCAUGUUUUCUGCUGGGUGGGUUCAGAGGGCAAUUUCUCUUUUAUGUGUACAUAUGCUAAAUAAACAUAAUUUAAAAAACA
rnacentral:lncRNA from 10 species